CUCGCGGCCUAUCAGCUUGUUGGUGAGGUAGUGGCUCACCAAGGCGACGACGGGUAGCCGGCCUGAGAGGGCGACCGGCCACACUGGGACUGAGACACGGCCCAGACUCCUACGGGAGGCAGCAGUGGGGAAUAUUGCACAAUGGGCGAAAGCCUGAUGCAGCGACGCCGCGUGAGGGAUGACGGCCUUCGGGUUGUAAACCUCUUUCAGCAGGGAAGAAGCGAAAGUGACGGUACCUGCAGAAGAAGCGCCGGCUAACUACGUGCCAGCAGCCGCGGUAAUACGUAGGGCGCAAGCGUUGUCCGGAAUUAUUGGGCGUAAAGAGCUCGUAGGCGGCUUGUCACGUCGGUUGUGAAAGCCCGGGGCUUAACCCCGGGUCUGCAGUCGAUACGGGCAGGCUAGAGUUCGGUAGGGGAGAUCGGAAUUCCUGGUGUAGCGGUGAAAUGCGCAGAUAUCAGGAGGAACACCGGUGGCGAAGGCGGAUCUCUGGGCCGAUACUGACGCUGAGGAGCGAAAGCGUGGGGAGCGAACAGGAUUAGAUACCCUGGUAGUCCACGCCGUAAACGGUGGGCACUAGGUGUGGGCAACAUUCCACGUUGUCCGUGCCGCAGCUAACGCAUUAAGUGCCCCGCCUGGGGAGUACGGAAGCUUGGAAUUCGCC
rnacentral:rRNA from 1 species